GGAAAGGAGCGGUGCCCCCACCCCGCCGCCGCUCUCCCACAGACAAAGAGCGGGCAGGGAAGCGGCAGCGGGGCGCGGGGAGCCCACCCGGCUCCAUGAGGCUCCGCUUCCCCUGACAGCUCCCCAGGCCCUCCGGGAGCUCCCCGACGCUUACCGUUGGAGGAGGAGGGGGAGAGCAAACAAACAGAAGUUCCAUAAUACAAUUUAUUGACACCAACAUGGGUCAUCAUCAUGGUUGGAAUCUUUGUAUCUGCUACAUUGAUUUUGUCGCCAGAGCUGCUAGUCAUGGCAGCAGGAAUAAGAAACAGGGGUAUAACAGAGACAGACAGACAAGACAAGACAGACUUUGCCAACCAGUUCAAGCACUUGGAAGCAAGCCAAAGCCUGUAACUGGUGACCUUAUUGAAAUUUAGGACAAUCACUUUUCAAAUAAAAGGCACCUGCAGUUUGUGCGACUAUACAAAAUAUACCUGCUCAGGAAGUCAAGAGGCACACCAAACAGCAUUCUGUUGCUCAGCAUGAUUGUUGCUCAAUUAAAGAAAAAAAUACUCCACAGACCAAAGUGAAACAGCAGCUGCAACCCUUGAGAUAAAAUGGAAUGGUCUCUUCUUAUCAAGGCUGUGUAUUAACAGUUCUACUGUUGUAUUACAUAUCAGCGAUGUAUUAUCUAUCUGAUUGACAAUUACAUUUUUUUAGAUUUAUAGAUAGAGGCUUUACCACUGCAACUAAAAGGAGUAUUUUAACAUAUUCUAUUAAGUGUGCGCUAGUAUAUUUCAUUAUAUGGGGACAAUAUGUAAAUACUGGAAGCUUCCAGGAAUACCACAUCGGUGGAAAAAUUUUCCUUAUACCUUAAAUAUAUUCCUAUACUGCACUACAAAUCAUAUUCAAAUUUGCAUUCAUGCUUUUCUCAUCCUUGUUAUAAAUCGCACUAAAGGAAAAAAAUAAAACUAUAUCAUCCAUUCAAACAGAA